rnacentral:other from 1 species
UCUCUGGGAUGUUCGCGAUUAAGGGUUAGUCCCCUGAGCCGAUAUUCUUUAUUUUAGAAUGACGUGACUUUUAAUUGGUGUGUAUGCCUUUAUAUAAGGAAACCUAAAAAUUAAAACGCGUUGUUCACCUUGAGCCUUGGGUUCAAGGGUUACGACCCUAACGACAUCUUGGAGUGU